CUCCUGUGCCUACUGAACUGGUAUCAGUGUCAUACUGGAAAACUGGCUCAGUUCAGCAGGAACAGGAG
rnacentral:pre_miRNA from 13 species